AUCUUAUCCAGAGAGGUGGAGGGACUGGCCCUACGAAACCCGGCAACCAGCUGCAUUGCAGCAUUGGUGCUAAUUCCUGAGGUAUUAUUACAUACCUAAAGAUAAGAG
rnacentral:ncRNA from 2 species